rnacentral:rRNA from 1 species
UGGGGAAUAUUGCACAAUGGGCGCAAGCCUGAUGCAGCCAUGCCGCGUGUAUGAAGAAGGCCUUCGGGUUGUAAAGUACUUUCAGCGGGGAGGAAGGGAGUAAAGUUAAUACCUUUGCUCAUUGACGUUACCCGCAGAAGAAGCACCGGCUAACUCCGUGCCAGCAGCCGCGGUAAUACGGAGGGUGCAAGCGUUAAUCGGAAUUACUGGGCGUAAAGCGCACGCAGGCGGUUUGUUAAGUCAGAUGUGAAAUCCUCGGGCUCAACCUGGGAACUGCAUCUGAUACUUGCAAGCUUGAGUCUCGUAGAGGGGGGUAGAAUUCCAGGUGUAGCGGUGAAAUGCGUAGAGAUCUGGAGGGAUACCGGUGGCGAAGGCGGCCCCCUGGACGAAGACUGACGCUCAGGUGCGAAAGCGUGGGGAGCAAACAGG